GCAGUGGGGAAUAUUGGACAAUGGGCGCAAGCCUGAUCCAGCCAUGCCGCGUGAGUGAUGAAGGCCUUAGGGUUGUAAAGCUCUUUCACCGGUGAAGAUAAUGACGGUAACCGGAGAAGAAGCCCCGGCUAACUUCGUGCCAGCAGCCGCGGUAAUACGAAGGGGGCUAGCGUUGUUCGGAAUUACUGGGCGUAAAGCGCACGUAGGCGGAUAUUUAAGUCAGGGGUGAAAUCCCAGAGCUCAACUCUGGAACUGCCUUUGAUACUGGGUAUCUUGAGUAUGGAAGAGGUAAGUGGAAUUGCGAGUGUAGAGGUGAAAUUCGUAGAUAUUCGCAGGAACACCAGUGGCGAAGGCGGCUUACUGGUCCAUUACUGACGCUGAGGUGCGAAAGCGUGGGGAGCAAACAGGAUUAGA
rnacentral:rRNA from 1 species